AAUAUUGACACAGUAAACAACGCGGGAAUAAUUUGUGUAUAUCAAAUAAACGACCAAAGCUCCAUUCUGCAACACCAACGAUGAAAGAGCGGGUAUAAAGGAAUCAACUUCGAAGGAUGUCUGUCUGUCUUUCCAACUGUCUGUGGGCAUUCACUUCUAAAUUCCAUGCUCAGCAUUCAAACUUUCAGGACCCCAUGCAAUCACACAUCUGUACACAGCGGAACAACAAGAGGCACUCUGGUCAGCUGGGCCUGGACGCCCGGCGACAAUUCCUGGGUGUACGUGGUGAGCUCUUGGGCCAGGAAUUUGGGGCAAAGCUUAAGGAGGCUCCAACUCCCCUUCUCAGGGGCCGAGAUUACCUCAUCUACAAGAUUGUUAUGCAAAGAGUUUCACAGUCCUUCAAAUAAUUUUUGAACAGCAUGUCACUUAACAAGCACCCUACCCUGAAAACCUCCCUGAGCUAAUGAACAGUUCAACUGCGCCAAACGUGACCCUUAAGAGAAAUGAGAUUCCAAGAAAUGUCAAACCGGUACCAAUCUAGGCUCCAGUAGCAGCCUCAGUUGUGGGGAACUGGUUCAUGAUGUACCCGUGGUCUUAAUGCUCUCUGAACAUCUCAACAACACAGCAACAGUAGAGCAACAUGAAC